rnacentral:rRNA from 1 species
UACAGAGGGUGCAAGCGUUGUUCGGAAUUAUUGGGCGUAAAGGGCGCGUAGGCGGUUCGGCAAGUCUCUAGUGAAAUCUCAGGGCUCAACUCUGAGUCUGCUGGGGAAACUGCCGGGCUUGAGUGUGGGAGAGGAGAGUGGAAUUCCCGGUGUAGCGGUGAAAUGCGUAGAUAUCUGGAGGAACACCGGUGGCGAAGGCGGCAUCCUGGACCAACACUGACGCUGAGGAGCGAAAGCCAGGGGAGCAAACGGG